rnacentral:lncRNA from 1 species
UGAGAUUCGACGAGCACAUCAAUUUUAAUUUCAACUUGACGAAAUAUAAGUAAAAAAGGUCCGUAAAUCCGAGUUUACUAAUAAAUCAUAAAAUUUCAUUAGAUGCAUCAACACAUAAUUUAAAGUAGUGGAAAAGUUUACAUGCAACACACAUUUUCUUAAAGACUGUACAUGCAAAACGUGUACUGGAUACCAGAAUGCAAUUCCAUAACCGAGAUAAAUUACAAUAAAAUCACCGUUUCUUUAAAGUUAAUAUUGGUUUCUUGGAAAAUCGAAAACAAAUCGUUGAUUUUUCGAAUUUGAUAUUAUUUUAAAAUAUAAUUAAGAACACGAGCACGUGAAGAUACAUAUCGGCAACGGGAUCAACCAUAGAAGGCGUCCUGCCUUGCAGAGACCAUAGAUUACAGUCACACGAAGGAAUCAGCUAGCUUAUGCAAGACAGGUCACACUUCUAUAACUGAUAACCUGCUCUGAAUUAUACACAGAGAGAGAGAUCGAGAGAGAGAGAGGGAGAGAGAUCGCGAGAGAGAGGGAGAGAGAUCUCGAAUGGAUCUUAUGAUAUAUUUUUAUGAUAUAUUUCAGUAGUACUUAUCUACUAGUGAUGAGAUUUACCGUGAAGUCAUGGUUUACCAGCAUGCCUAUUGCACAAACAACGGUGGCGAAGAAUGACAUAACCACCUGCAUCUCCAUGACCACAGAAUAGUUUAUGGGCUGUUUAGCCUUCUUGCACAUUAACUCAAUCGCUGGUAGUAUAAAUCCAUACAAUGCGGCUGCUCCAAGAGUCAUAAAGAAGCCUAAAAAGUAUUGCUUGUUGGACUCAUCAGCAGGACGAUCAGAGCUAGUAUGAAAUGCAAGAACUACAGCUCCAAUACAUAACAAAAAGACAGCAUUGAUGGUGAAGCUGGUAAACUUUUGCCUAACCAGAAGAAACGCAAAUCCAGCCGUAAAAGCCAACUGAGUAGCAAUAAUUAGCUACUCAGUUUAUGCUCUCGAAUUCAUGAACCAUAAUUUCAAUAGAUUCCAGAAAUUUUCAUAACUCAUAAUUAGCUACAGCUACUAGAAAAAUAAAAAACUAACAAGACUACAUUGUUUUCGCUAGUUUUACUUCUGCAAUACUAUCUGAGUAAUAUCCGUAAACUGAUAUUCAUCUUGUGCAAUACGCUCCAGUUCCUUUUCUUCGUGUUCUGCAAUGCGUUUCUUUUCCUUGUCUUGUUUAGCCUCUUCAUAGAAGUAGGAUACAGAGCCCCAAAGAGCAAGAAAAAGAGAUAUUCCCUUUUCAGGUGUAAAUUUCUCACCGAACAUAAAUACAGCCAGGAUCUCCGAAACAGGUAGCAGAGCCGAAAUUAGUAUACCAGAGAGUAUUGAGUUGUUGCAGAAAAUCACUCCAAUGGCUCCCAAGAAAAACAGCUGCCAAAGAAAUGCAUCUGCUGCUAGUACUAAAUAAUACAUCGUUUGUCCAAGCUCAAAACUCGCAGCUUCUCUAGGGAUCGCCUGCAAGAAUAAGUCAAUGCAAUUAGUAACAAGUAGCUCUCCAAUUCUUGAUUUACAUCUGAUUUAAAUAGCCUAUAACAGUGAAUUUAGAAAAUCUGAACCUUUAGAAAAAUACUUCACAAACUUUUUCAAGUCCAUAAUCUACUAAAUACGUGCAAGUGAAGGAAAUAUUUUAGUCGUGCUAGAUACGGACCUGGAAAUCAUUAUUGAUUACCAUCCCAACGACGCAGAGGAUUGUAGCAGAAAGAGAUAUGAUGAUCUGCAUCUCGAUGACUAAAGAAUAAGUGACGGUCUGUUUCGCUUUCUUGUAUAUGAGCUCAACAGAUGGCAAGACAAAUCCAUACAAAACUGCAACUCCCAGGGUCAUCAGGAAUCCAAUCAAGAGCACGUGAAGAUACAUAUCGGCAAUAGAGAGCGGGAUCAACCAUAGAAGGCGUCCUGCCUUGCAGAGACCAUAAAUUACAGUCACACGAAGGA